GAUGAACGCUGGCGGCGUGCCUAAUACAUGCAAGUCGAGCGAACAGACGAGGAGCUUGCUCCUCUGACGUUAGCGGCGGACGGGUGAGUAACACGUGGAUAACCUACCUAUAAGACUGGGAUAACUUCGGGAAACCGGAGCUAAUACCGGAUGAUAUUUUGAACCGCAUGGUUCAAUAGUGAAAGACGGUUUUGCUGUCACUUAUAGAUGGAUCCGCGCCGCAUUAGCUAGUUGGUAAGGUAACGGCUUACCAAGGCAACGAUGCGUAGCCGACCUGAGAGGGUGAUCGGCCACACUGGAACUGAGACACGGUCCAGACUCCUACGGGAGGCAGCAGUAGGGAAUCUUCCGCAAUGGGCGAAAGCCUGACGGAGCAACGCCGCGUGAGUGAUGAAGGUCUUCGGAUCGUAAAACUCUGUUAUUAGGGAAGAACAAAUGUGUAAGUAACUGUGCACGUCUUGACGGUACCUAAUCAGAAAGCCACGGCUAACUACGUG
rnacentral:rRNA from 1 species